AAAAGAAAAGUAUGUUAAUAUAGCCCAAGAUGACUGCCUAUAAAAUACCAAUUUUCAAAAUUGGUUUUGAAGAAAAAGUUGUACAUAGGCAAGUCAUCCUUGUCUAAUAAACAAAGAUUUUUCUCU
rnacentral:pre_miRNA from 1 species